GUCUCUUCCGAGACAUCCGAUAAAAUUGGAACGAUACAGAGAAGAUUAGCAUGGCCCCUGCACAACGAUAACACGCACAAAUCGAGAAAUGGUCUAAAUUUUU
rfam:Oryza glaberrima chromosome 10 Oglab10_0021_2, whole genome shotgun sequence.